rnacentral:rRNA from 1 species
ACAGUGGACGCGAGCAUCUUUGUUGUAAGUGUUUAAGAGCGUACGGUGGAUGCCUUGGCACCAGGAGCCGAUGAAGGACGUAGGAGGCUGCGAUAAGCCUCGGGGAGCUGUCAACCGAGCUGAGAUCCGAGGAUGUCCGAAUGGGGAAACCCAGCCACAGUGAUGUGUGGUUACCCGCGCCUGAAUAUAUAGGGCGUGAGGAGGGAACGUGGGGAAGUGAAACAUCUCAGUACCCACAGGAAGAGAAAACAACAUGUGAUUCCGUGAGUAGUGGCGAGCGAAAGCGGAAGAGGCUAAACCAUGGGUGUGUGAUAGCCGGCGGGCGUUGCAUUCGUGGGGUUGUGGGAUCCGUCUUGUCAAUUCUGCCGGAUUGGCCGACAGUGAGAAAUCAUCGUGUUAGUCGAAGUGGUCUGGAACGGCCUGUCGUAGAGGGUGAGAGUCCCGUAGACGAAAACAUGGUGACUGUCGUGACGGACACCCGAGUAGCAGCGGGCCCGUGAAAUCUGCUGUGAAUCUGUCGGGACCACCCGAUAAGCCUGAAUACUCCCUGGUGACCGAUAGCGGACUAGUACCGUGAGGGAAAGGUGAAAAGUACCCCGGGAGGGGAGUGAAAUAGUACCUGAAACCGUGCGCUUACAAUCCGUCAGAGCCUGCGCCACUUCGGUGGGUGGGUGAUGGCGUGCCUUUUGAAGAAUGAGCCUGCGAGUUAGCGGCAUGUCGCGAGGUUAACCCGUGUGGGGUAGCCGUAGCGAAAGCGAGUCCGAAUAGGGCGUUUGUAGUGGCAUGUUCUAGACCCGAAGCGGAGUGAUCUACCCAUGGCCAGGGUGAAGCGACGGUAAGACGUCGUGGAGGCCCGAACCCACUUAGGUUGAAAACUGAGGGGAUGAGCUGUGGGUAGGGGUGAAAGGCCAAUCAAACUCCGUGAUAGCUGGUUCUCCCCGAAAUGCAUUUAGGUGCAGCGUCGCGUGUUUCACUCUGGAGGUAGAGCUACUGGAUGGCCGAUGGGCCCCACAAGGUUACUGACGUCAGCCAAACUCCGAAUGCCAGAGUGUGAGAGCGCGGCAGUGAGACUGCGGGGGAUAAGCUUCGUAGUCGAGAGGGAAACAGCCCAGAUCGCCGGCUAAGGCCCCUAAGCGUGUACUAAGUGGAAAAGGAUGUGGGGUCGCGAAGACAACCAGGAGGUUGGCUUAGAAGCAGCCACCCUUGAAAGAGUGCGUAAUAGCUCACUGGUCAAGUGAUCCUGCGCCGACAAUGUAGCGGGGCUCAAGUACACCGCCGAAGCCGCGGCAUUCACAUAACACCCAUGCGGGUCUACGGGCCUGUGUGCAGUGGUGUGGAUGGGUAGGGGAGCGUCGUGCAGCCAUGGAAGCGCCGGAGUGAUCCAGGUGUGGAGGCUGCACGAGUGAGAAUGCAGGCAUGAGUAGCGAAAGACGAGUGAGAAACUCGUCCGCCGAAUGACCAAGGGUUCCUGGGCCAGGUUAAUCCGCCCAGGGUGAGUCGGGACCUAAGGCGAGGCCGACAGGCGUAGUCGAUGGACAACGGGUUGAUAUUCCCGUACCCGUGUGAACGCGCCCCUGGUGAAUCAGUGAUGCUAAGCGCCCUGAAGCCGCCUUCGAACCUUCGGGUUCUCCGGUGUGUGGAUGCGCGUGAACCGAUCUGGUAGUAGCCAAGCGAUGGGGUGACGCAGGAAGGUAGCUGAGCCAGUCAGUGGUAAUACUGGUGUAAGCGUGUAGGGCGUGACCUAGGCAAAUCCGGGUCACAUACAGCCUGAGACGUGAUGCGUAGCCGAUUGAGGCGAAUUCAGUGAUCCUAUGCUGCCGAGAAAAGCCUCUAGCGAGCUUUCACACGGCCCGUACCCCAAACCGACACAGGUGGUCAGGUAGAGAAUACUAAGGCGAUCGAGAUAACUGUGGUUAAGGAACUCGGCAAAAUGCCCCCGUAACUUCGGGAGAAGGGGGGCCUCGUCUGGUGACGGAACUUGCUUCCUGAGCUGGGUGGGGCCGCAGAGACCAGAGAGAAGCGACUGUUUACUAAAAACACAGGUCCGUGCGAAGUCGUAAGACGAUGUAUACGGACUGACGCCUGCCCGGUGCUGGAAGGUUAAGAGGACCGGUUAGCCAGUAAUGGCGAAGCUGAGAAUUUAAGCCCCAGUAAACGGCGGUGGUAACUAUAACCAUCCUAAGGUAGCGAAAUUCCUUGUCGGGUAAGUUCCGACCUGCACGAAUGGCGUAACGACUUCUCUGCUGUCUCAACCACAGACUCGGCGAAAUUGCAUUACGAGUAAAGAUGCUCGUUACGCGCGGCAGGACGAAAAGACCCCGGGACCUUCACUAUAGCUUGGUAUUGGU